UCUCGGUCUCUCACUCUGCCUUAUACCCCUCAGUUGAAUUAUUUCUUCUGAGGAGGCAAGAACUGAGGCUGCUGCAGACUGAUAUGGAUUCACCACUGCUAACACCUCCUGGUUGGAACUACAGGAAUAGAACUGGAAAGGGAAAAAAGGCAGCAUUCACCACAUCCCAAUCCUGAAUCCAAGAGUCUAAGAUAGUCCCCCACUCCUAUCUCAGGCUUAGAGGAUUAGAUUAAUCUCCUGGAGGGAAGACUCUUCCUUGAAACAUUUUUUUUUAUCUGCCUGUAGCUAUUGGGAUAAUUCGGGAAAUCCACAGGGACAGUUCAAGUCAUCUUUGUCCUCUACUUUCUGUUGCACUCUCAGCCUUGUUCUCUUUUUAGAAACUGCAUGGUAACUAUUAUAUAGCUAAAGAAGAGCAUUCUGACCUCUGCCCUCUGCCCUGGGACUUCCUGGAUCCUCCUCUUCUUAUAAAUACAAGGGCAGAGCUGGUAUCCCGGGGAGCCAGGAAGCAGUGAGCCCAGGAGUCCUCGGCCAGCCCUGCCUGCCCACCAGGAGGAUGAAGGUCUCCGUGGCUGCCCUCUCCUGCCUCAUGCUUGUUGCUGUCCUUGGAUCCCAGGCCCAGUUCAUAAAUGAUGCAGAGACAGAGUUAAUGAUGUCAAAGCUUCCACUGGAAAAUCCAGUAGUUCUGAACAGCUUUCACUUUGCUGCUGACUGCUGCACCUCCUACAUCUCACAAAGCAUCCCGUGUUCACUCAUGAAAAGUUAUUUUGAAACGAGCAGCGAGUGCUCCAAGCCAGGUGUCAUAUUCCUCACCAAGAAGGGGCGGCAAGUCUGUGCCAAACCCAGUGGUCCGGGAGUUCAGGAUUGCAUGAAAAAGCUGAAGCCCUACUCAAUAUAAUAAUAAAGAGACAAAAGAGGCCAGCCACCCACCUCCAACACCUCCUGAGCCUCUGAAGCUCCCACCAGGCCAGCUCUCCUCCCACAACAGCUUCCCACAGCAUGAAGAUCUCCGUGGCUGCCAUUCCCUUCUUCCUCCUCAUCACCAUCGCCCUAGGGACCAAGACUGAAUCCUCCUCACAAACUGGGGGGAAACCGAAGGUUGUUAAAAUACAGCUAAAGUUGGUGGGGGGACCUUACCACCCCUCAGAGUGCUGCUUCACCUACACUACCUACAAGAUCCCGCGUCAGCGGAUUAUGGAUUACUAUGAGACCAACAGCCAGUGCUCCAAGCCCGGAAUUGUCUUCAUCACCAAAAGGGGCCAUUCCGUCUGUACCAACCCCAGUGACAAGUGGGUCCAGGACUAUAUCAAGGACAUGAAGGAGAACUGAGUGACCCAGAAGGGGUGGCGAAGGCACAGCUCAGAGACAUAAAGAGAAGAUGCCAAGGCCCCCUCCUCCACCCACCGCUAACUCUCAGCCCCAGUCACCCUCUUGGAGCUUCCCUGCUUUGAAUUAAAGACCACUCAUGCUCUUC